rnacentral:lncRNA from 1 species
AAUAAUAGUAACUUAAUGAUUUUGACGAGAGCAAUAUGAAUAAUAUUUAUACCGUCUUUGUUCAAUCAAACAAUUCAUUAAACAGCACAAAGCUGCUGAACAUUUGAGCAUCUUGAGUGAAUUAGCGUUCGUUUUCCCAGAGAAAAGACAGAAUACUUUUUUUUAAAAUGUCAUACUUAUUGUUUUAACAGAAAAUUCUGAAAUGUUCGGCACGUUACGAGAGUAAUCUCGGUUGCUCGUACCUUGCAACAAUACCCAGUAUCGAUACCUGUUCAGCUAGGUUGUUUUGUUUUGCCUCGGUGGUUGCAAAUUAUUAAAGGAGUUGAGGGACUGUAAUCGCCUUGUCUGGUUCGACACCUCUCUUCUGUACUGUGUGUGUGGUCUUCUGGGAUUCGCUUUCCGUGCCAUUAAAUUGUGCGAGUUGUCGAUGAUGGACUUUGAAAUGGUUUAAUGACAUUAAAGGGUUUGUUGGGGUUUUUUUCCUCUGAAAAAGUCAUCAACAUACUUAACCGCUUUCAGGAAAAUAACCGCACUACCCGAUUUAAUAACUGUACUCUGUGAGACUGGAGGUUUGUUUUAGAGACAUCAAACCAAAAGGAAAACAAAACAAAAGAAAAACGGACGACCAGCACUUUGAGUAAACGUGAAGCCUUGGCUGGCUAAUGUAGGCGCUGUGGUGUGUGAGUGUGUGUGUGUGUGUGACAUAAGCCGAGUUUUAGACUGUACUACGAGUUUUUCCAUAUCAUCGUCGGAUAUAUCGUAUUCCCGUGGAGUGUCUGGGACCCAAGUGAUACACACACGGACGGACACGGCCAUAACCAAGCGCCAUGCCUUACAAG